UCCAGACUCCUACGGGAGGCAGCAGUGGGGAAUAUUGGACAAUGGGGGGAACCCUGAUCCAGCGACGCCGCGUGAGUGAAGAAGUAUUUCGGUAUGUAAAGCUCUCUCAGCAGGGAAGAAAGAAAUGACGGUACCUGACUAAGAAGCCCCAGCUAACUACGUGCCAGCAGCCGCGGUAAUACGGAGGAUGCGAGCGUUAUCCGGAUUUAUUGGGUUUAAAGGGUGCGUAGGCGGUCCGGAAAGUCAGCGGUAAAAGCCCGGGGCCCACCCCCGGCGAGCCGUUGAAACUGUCGGACUAGAGACGGCGAGAAGUACGCGGAAUGCGCGGUGUAGCGGUGAAAUGCAUAGAUAUCGCGCAGAACUCCGAUUGCGAAGGCAGCGUGCCGGCGCCGGACUGACGCUGAGGCACGAAAGCGUGGGUAUCGAACAGGAUUAGAUACCCCUGUAU
rnacentral:rRNA from 1 species